rnacentral:sRNA from 1 species
AUGGCUAACUGCUUUCGAUUUGUGUAAGCGCCGUCAAGAACAACGCUGCCCAAUAGCAGCAACGAGCCGCAUGAGUGAGAUCUGUACUCCGUAACAGCGCAAGAAAAAACCCUCGAUGAGCAUAUUCCGUGAAUUUUGCUGCCAAUCGGCAUCUGCUCGACGUGAAUACUGUUGGAGGGAUUGGGUUGGGUGGUUCGUCCCCUCUAUUACCAGUUGGCUCGGGUGGUAGCUAAGCUCCUUUGCCCCAGAAGCCUAGAAUUAUCAACCUAGAGGAAGCAUAUGGAAUCGUGUUUAACUCUUACAAUUUAAUUCUUGCACAGGAGCGGCUCAUCUGAAUGCCCGAGUUCCCUAGUUGGCAUAAAUUUCAUGGAUCUGGGCG